AUACGGGGGGAGCAAGCGUUGUUCGGAUUUACUGGGCGUAAAGGGCGCGUAGGCGGCCACCGCAAGUCAAUUGUGAAAUCUCCGGGCUUAACUCGGAAAGGUCAACUGAUACUGCGGGGCUAGAGUGCGGAAGGGGCAACUGGAAUUCUCGGUGUAGCGGUGAAAUGCGUAGAUAUCGAGAGGAACACCUGCGGCGAAGGCGGGUUGCUGGGCCGACACUGACGCUGAGGCGCGAAAGCUAGGGGAGCGAACGGGA
rnacentral:rRNA from 1 species